CACGUAGUUAGCCGUGGCUUUCUGGUUAGGUACCGUCAAGGUACGAGCAGUUACUCUCGUACUUGUUCUUCCCUAACAACAGAGUUUUACGAUCCGAAAACCUUCAUCACUCACGCGGCGUUGCUCCGUCAGACUUUCGUCCAUUGCGGAAGAUUCCCUA
rnacentral:rRNA from 1 species